rnacentral:misc_RNA from 1 species
GGCUAAUCUAACGGUUUGAAGUAAAGAUCUGAGAGUAAUGGCUAAAGAGGGUUCCAAUGGAAAUUCCCAUAUUUCUUCAAAGCCACCACCGACUCCAUCUCCUUUGAGAAGUGCCAAAUUUUUUCAGGCAAAUAUGAGAAUUUUGGUGACUGGAGGAGCUGGGUUCAUUGGCUCACACCUGGUGGACAAAUUGAUGGAAAAUGAGAAGAAUGAGGUUAUUGUUGCUGAUAACUACUUCACUGGAUCGAAGGAUAACUUGAAGAAAUGGAUUGGCCACCCUAGAUUUGAGCUUAUUCGACAUGAUGUCACUGAGCCGUUGUUGAUUGAAGUUGACCAAAUCUACCAUCUUGCUUGCCCGGCAUCUCCAAUUUUCUACAAGUACAACCCUGUCAAGACUAUUAAGACGAAUGUAAUUGGCACACUGAACAUGUUGGGACUUGCCAAGCGUGUCGGAGCAAGGAUUUUGCUUACGUCCACAUCCGAGGUAUACGGAGAUCCUCUCAUUCACCCUCAAGAUGAAAGCUACUGGGGAAAUGUCAACCCAAUUGGUGUGAGAAGUUGCUAUGAUGAGGGCAAGCGAGUAGCCGAAACUCUGAUGUUCGAUUACCACAGGCAACAUGGGAUCGAGAUAAGGAUUGCAAGGAUCUUUAACACCUAUGGACCCCGAAUGAAUAUAGAUGAUGGUCGUGUCGUCAGCAACUUCAUUGCUCAAGCAAUCCGUAGCGAGCCUUUGACAGUUCAAGCACCUGGAACACAAACAAGAAGUUUCUGUUACGUCUCUGAUAUGGUUGAUGGCCUCAUUCGGCUAAUGGAG